CACAUGCUAGUGGUCUAAUGCCUGCUAGAGUCCCUAGUACAGUGUAAAAGUUGGAAACCCUGGUUUCAAACUGAUUUAUGAUGCCAAAUCAAGGAAUUAAGCAUGAUUGUUGUUUAACUUCUCCCUUUUUCCAUGCUACUUUAAGGAGGUACCAUAAUGCUGCAUGGCACUACAGUUUUUCACAACUUCCCAGACCAUAAGCUCAUAAAACUAAAUUCUAUCCUCCAAUUUAAAAAAAAAAAUCAUCUUAUAACAUUUUAGUAUGGAAAAUAAUUAGAUGUGGGGUCGUAUUAGUAGUAGGAUAAAGUAAAGCUGCCUGUCUCUGGUCCAUUCUUGCAAUUUGAGACAGUGACCAAAUUUCCUAUUAACCUUAUUGCUCUUUCCAGUGAGCAAGUCUUAACCCCCCCUUUUCAUCGAUCAGCAUUAAUUAGAAGUUGCAUUAUUAAAGGUUCAGAAGAAGUCAAACAUACUUAUGGAGACAAUAUUCCUUCAGUAAAAGGAGAGAAAUGCAGUCACAUUUUCUUUCCCUUAGCAGUUCUGGGAAUACAGUGACAAAACCAAAACAUCUUACUUGGUAAAUUAUUAAUGUUCAAUACUUUUUAUGUCAGCUGUAGAAGUUAAUUUGUAUGUAACUGAGAAAUUAGCAUAUUGCUGACCCAGAGUAUUAAAGCCUUAUUAUCAGGAUGUUUUCUUUGAUGGUACUUUUUGUUCGCAUUUCCGUUUUCUAGAAAAAGCUAAAAGGUUGCUGCAAGGUCAGUAACACACUAUUAUUGACCAUGUUAAAACCAUAGAUAAAGUAAAGAUAAAACCUCUGUGGUCACACCUAUGUCCUUAGCUAUAAAGUAGACCACCAGUCAGUACAAAUAAAACUCUCUGCAAAAGAGCCUACCUCACAGGGUUGUUUUCAGGAUGAAAUGGAGAAGGGAAGAACCAUGUGUGCCAUCUUGAGUUCCUUGAAGGAAAUGGGGGGUAUAAAUGCAAUAAUUGUAAUUAUAAUAAUGAUAAAUAUUGAAGAAAUCAGUUUAAGUUCAAUUGAAUCAAAUUGAACCUCCUCCCAUACCACCCUUAUGUUUUAUCCAGUUCUUUCGGGUUGGAAAAGACCACCACCUGCCUAUAAAUGGGAUAAGGCUUUUACUUGGCAAUAGUCCUACUUAUCUUCUGGAACAGAAUGAUUAGUCCCAGAGCUCCCUGUUGCCUACAGUGCUUGUGACCAGUAAUUGGUACUAUUUUUCUGUCAGGCUAUAAUAUUCACAUUUUGCAGUUACAUUACAGGCUAUAAUAUUCACAUUUUGAAGUUUUGUACUAUAUUGUUGCUUUUAUUUUUAAGUUACCUUUAUCUUUUUCCCCACUUGUAGAUUAGUAAUAUAACAGUAUAUAAUUUAAAUACUAAUGGAGUUAUUAAGACAGUACUAAAUUACUAGGGCUGUAUUGUAAGUAAUAACGUAUGUGCCCUUGUGAGCCAUAUCAACAAACAAUGCCUAAUAUGAGGUUAGCUACAAAUUCUUAGAAGCACAUGCCUGUGUGCUUUAUUCUCCCAGAAAUCAAUGGAAUUUAAGUGUAGGUUGUGAUCUGAAGAAAUCUGAUUAGGAUUUUGUGAGUACUACACAUGUGAGCAAAAAGAAUCUUGUGUUUUUCCAGAGUUCUGUCUGCUGUAUGUGUAAGAAUGGGCUUCUGGAUAGUGAAUUAAAAGGGCACAACCUGAAUCUGAAACUAGUAUACUUAGGUCCAGUGCAGAUUAAACACUUGCAGUGUAAUAGGUGUACCGCCCAUUAUUUGAGAGCAAAUUCAAUUGAAAUUACCUUCAAUGUGGGUAUGUUUUGUUUUGGGCAAUAUGGAGAAAGUGGGGAAUAGGAAGAACAUGGCUCUCUUUUUGUACCCUAUUACAUAGUGUCCCAAACUACUAUAAGAUUUAGGGUGUUAGAUUCAACAAUGGAAGAAACUCAGUGAUCAAGAGCCCCACACACUCAUGAACUGCAUAUGUUUAGGAUCAAUGCUUGCCUGUUUUGCUUAGAUAGAGAAUAACUUGAAGAUACACAGUUCUUUCAGAACACUGCUUUAGAAUAACUUGACAACAAUAUAGGUAGGGAAGAGUAAUUAGAACCACUAUUGUAUGGUCUAGACACCAGGAUUAACAGAUUUGAUGUGAAGGAAAAUGUCAUAAGAUAUUAAUCAAGAGGAAAAUAUUAGUUUGAUAUUAACUCGGUGGAUUCAACUACUCUUCAUUCUCUUCAUGCUACAGUACUGAGAUUACUGGCCAAUUCCUUGUUAAAGUCUGGCUGUUAGCAAUCACCUCUCUCUGCACCUCUAUUUUCCUGUGAGAUCUCCUGUCUGUGUACUGAUGAGG